UGGGGAAUUUUGGACAAUGGGCGAAAGCCUGAUCCAGCAAUGCCGCGUGUGUGAAGAAGGCCUUCGGGUUGUAAAGCACUUUUGUCCGGAAAGAAAUCCUUGGCUCUAAUACAGUCGGGGGAUGACGGUACCGGAAGAAUAAGCACCGGCUAACUACGUGCCAGCAGCCGCGGUAAUACGUAGGGUGCAAGCGUUAAUCGGAAUUACUGGGCGUAAAGCGUGCGCAGGCGGUUUGCUAAGACCGAUGUGAAAUCCCCGGGCUCAACCUGGGAACUGCAUUGGUGACUGGCAGGCUAGAGUAUGGCAGAGGGGGGUAGAAUUCCACGUGUAGCAGUGAAAUGCGUAGAGAUGUGGAGGAAUACCGAUGGCGAAGGCAGCCCCCUGGGCCAAUACUGACGCUCAUGCACGAAAGCGUGGGGGAGCAAACAGGAUUAGAUACCCCUGGUAGUCCACGCCCUAAACGAUGUCAACUAGUUGUUGGGGAUUCAUUUCCUUAGUAACGUAGCUAACGCGUGAAGUUGACCACCUGGGGAGUACGGUCGCAAGAUUAAAACUCAAAUGAAUUGAC
rnacentral:rRNA from 1 species